rnacentral:tRNA from 1 species
GGAAGGGUGCUUGAGUGGCCGAAAAGAGCCGCCUGCUAAGCGGUUGAGGGUUAACGCCCUCCGAGGGUUCGAAUCCCUCCCCUUCCGCCA